UACGUAGGGUGCGAGCGUUGUCCGGAAUCAUUGGGCGUAAAGCGCGUGUAGGCGGCUCGGUAAGUCCGCUCUGAAAGUCCAGGGCUCAACCCUGGGAUGCGGGUGGAUACUGCCGAGCUCGAGUCCGGAAGAGGCGAGUGGAAUUCCUGGUGUAGCGGUGAAAUGCGCAGAUAUCAGGAGGAACACCAAUGGCGAAGGCAGCUCGCUGGGACGUGACUGACGCUGAGACGCGAAAGCGUGGGGAGCAAACAGG
rnacentral:rRNA from 1 species